AAUUACAGCCUUGGAAAAUGAUAUCCUACUGUUUAUGGAUAAACUGGAUAAUUUCUGUGAUAGCUGCCCAACGGACCGUUGCCAAUUUAUUUCAGGUCGAAAUAGCAACCGACUGGAGCGGUUGAAGAAAGUUGGUGGCAUGAUGAAGGAGCGAUACGAUAAAAUUGAAGCCGAGGAACCUGCUAAGGCGUUAUUGACCGCAAGGCAUUAUACAGGUGGAAAAGACUAUCUUGGUGCUCUUGGAUGAAUAAAACAAAUGAUAUCUUUGGAUCUGAUGGCGCUUUUGCUUCUUAGCUGUGUGCUACGUU